UUUAACUUAAAUUGCGGUCAACUAAACAGACAGCAACUACCACUUAAACCAAACAUAACUGACCUCCAUGUCACACAAACCAGGGGUUUAUAAAGACACAGGCUAGCCUACAGCUCAAAGAAGGUAACAGAAAUAAACCGCCAAUCAACCUCAACCACUAAACUAGAUACAAAUACAAGAUUAAACAUGAAUAAUAUUUACACAAUAAACAACGUAACAACUUCAGUAACUCCCAUUAAGCAAAUCCCCAACAUAAGCCUAAUAAUAAAAUCAUAAGCGGUAGAUUCCCCCUCCAGGCACGCACAGUUGGCCUCCUCCGCUUCCUGGUCGUGGUAUUUUAAGGAGUCAUAUCAUGCUUUUCAUUCUAAAAAAUAUUAGACUUUAAUGUCUCAGUAAGGUCUCUGUAAAUUUUCAUCCCAUAAAACCCUUUAGAUCGUCCACACUGCCCCUGUCAAUGUGUGGUUUUCACUCUCCAUCAGCAAACGCUGUGUUUUCUGGGCGUGUCGCAAGCGAAGCUGCUCACCACACCUCUGUGCGGAAGCGCAUACCUUUUUUGUUGUUGUUGUUUUUUUUUAAAUUGGCUCCAUGGAUACGAGCCACCGCACGGUUAGGAUACAAUAGGUGGCAGUAGUGCGACAUUGAGAAUGCAAUCCACCGCAAUCCUCCACAGAAGAAGACCCACUACAGAACUGCACGACAUUAGUCAGCUGGUUCGUAGCGUAGUAGAACCAUACGUCUACGAUCCCGAAUCUGACCCUGAAGCUGAAGAGGAGGCUGUUGAAGUCACCACAUUUCGGCUGAUGCAAGAUGUGUCUCAUUGGUAUCUAGUCUACAGGGGCUAGUGAGCUGGUGCUGAGGAUUCCUGGGGUGAAGAAUCUGAGUUGCCAUCUCUUCAUGCUUGGGUUGUAGAUGAAGGCAGUUUCCUGAUGGAUAAAACACUAAAACACUCAUAGUAUGAUUGAUGUAGACCACCUGUAGAAUAACUCCUUUACCGUUUGAGUAAAAAUGUGUUUUUUGUGAGUGCAACACUCAUUAAGAAUUUUUUUAACUUUAUUUAUAUAUAAUUUAUAUGCGUUUUAUUUAUGGCCGCUUCAACUUUAUAGCUUACCAUAUUAGAAAGAGAAAAACAUGUAAUUUCAAUACUAUGAUUUCCUAAAUAAAAGUGUUUUCCCUUCAGAAA